UGCAAGUCGAGCGGACAGAUGGGAGCUUGCUCCCUGAUGUUAGCGGCGGACGGGUGAGUAACACGUGGGUAACCUGCCUGUAAGACUGGGAUAACUCCGGGAAACCGGGGCUAAUACCGGAUGGUUGUUUGAACCGCAUGGUUCAAACAUAAAAGGUGGCUUCGGCUACCACUUACAGAUGGACCCGCGGCGCAUUAGCUAGUUGGUGAGGUAAUGGCUCACCAAGGCAACGAUGCGUAGCCGACCUGAGAGGGUGAUCGGCCACACUGGGACUGAGACACGGCCCAGACUCCUACGGGAGGCAGCAGUAGGGAAUCUUCCGCAAUGGACGAAAGUCUGACGGAGCAACGCCGCGUGAGUGAUGAAGGUUUUCGGAUCGUAAAGCUCUGUUGUUAGGGAAGAACAAGUACCGUUCGAAUAGGGCGGUACCUUGACGGUACCUAACCAGAAAGCCACGGCUAACUACGUGCCAGCAGCCGCGGUAAUACGUAGGUGGCAAGCGUUGUCCGGAAUUAUUGGGCGUAAAGGGCUCGCAGGCGGUUUCUUAAGUCUGAUGUGAAAGCCCCCGGCUCAACCGGGGAGGGUCAUUGGAAACUGGGGAACUUGAGUGCAGAAGAGGAGAGUGGAAUUCCACGUGUAGCGGUGAAAUGCGUAGAGAUGUGGAGGAACACCAGUGGCGAAGGCGACUCUCUGGUCUGUAACUGACGCUGAGGAGCGAAAGCGUGGGGAGCGAACAGGAUUAGAUACCCUGGUAGUCCACGCCGUAAACGAUGAGUGCUAAGUGUUAGGGGGUUUCCGCCCCUUAGUGCUGCAGCUAACGCAUUAAGCACUCCGCCUGGGGAGUACGGUCGCAAGACUGAAACUCAAAGGAAUUGACGGGGGCCCGCACAAGCGGUGGAGCAUGUGGUUUAAUUC
rnacentral:rRNA from 1 species